AGGACGAACGCUGGCGGCAGGCUUAACACAUGCAAGUCGAGCGGGCGUAGCAAUACGUCAGCGGCAGACGGGUGAGUAACGCGUGGGAACGUACCUUUUGGUUCGGAACAACACAGGGAAACUUGUGCUAAAUACCGGAUAAGCCCUUACGGGGAAAGAUUUAUCGCCGAAAGAUCGGCCCGCGUCUGAUUAGCUAGUUGGUGAGGUAACGGCUCACCAAGGCGACGAUCAGUAGCUGGGUCUGAGAGGAUGAUCAGCCACAUUGGGACUGAGACACGGCCCAAACUCCUACGGGAGGCAGCAGUGGGAAUAUUGGACAAUGGGCGCAAGCCUGAUCCAGCCAUGCCGCGUGAGUGAUGAAGGCCCUAGGGUUGUAAAGCUCUUUUGUGCGGGAAGAUAAUGACGGUACCGCAAGAAUAAGCCCGGCUAACUUCGUGCCAGCAGCCGC
rnacentral:rRNA from 1 species